AAAACAUAGCCUUAAGAAAACAUUUAAGGUAAGCUCUGCCCAGUGGAAGUUCUUAACGGCCGCAGUACCCUGACUGUGCUAAGGUAGCGUAAUCAGUUGGCUUUUAAAUGAAGUCGAGAAUGAACGGGGCCAUGGAAAGAAGCUGUCUCUUUUUUAAUUUAAUGAAUUUGCUAAAUAGGUGAAAAUACCUUUAGUAAGAAAAUAGACGAGAAGACCCUUAGAGCCUUUAUAAUAAUUUAUUUAAUUAUUUUUGUUGGGGCGACAAGAAGACAUAUAACUCUUCUUAAUACUAAACGAUUAUAAUACAUAUGAAUAGGCUACCUUAG
rnacentral:rRNA from 1 species